rnacentral:rRNA from 1 species
GACGAACGCUUGCGGCGUGCUUAACACAUGCAAGUCGAACGGAAAGGCCCUGCUUUUGUGGGGUGCUCGAGUGGCGAACGGGUGAGUAACACGUGAGUAACCUGCCCUUGACUUUGGGAUAACUUCAGGAAACUGGGGCUAAUACCGGAUAGGGGCUCCUGCUGCAUGGUGGGGGUUGGAAAGUUUCGGCGGUUGGGGAUGGACUCGCGGCUUAUCAGCUUGUUGGUGGGGUAGUGGCUUACCAAGGCUUUGACGGGUAGCCGGCCUGAGAGGGUGACCGGCCACAUUGGGACUGAGAUACGGCCCAGACUCCUACGGGAGGCAGCAGUGGGGAAUAUUGCACAAUGGGCGGAAGCCUGAUGCAGCAACGCCGCGUGCGGGAUGACGGCCUUCGGGUUGUAAACCGCUUUCGCCUGUGACGAAGCGUGAGUGACGGUAAUGGGUAAAGAAGCACCGGCUAACUACGUGCCAGCAGCCGCGGUGAUACGUAGGGUGCGAGCGUUGUCCGGAUUUAUUGGGCGUAAAGGGCUCGUAGGUGGUUGAUCGCGUCGGAAGUGUAAUCUUGGGGCUUAACCCUGAGCGUGCUUUCGAUACGGGCUGACUUGAGGAAGGUAGGGGAGAAUGGAAUUCCUGGUGGAGCGGUGGAAUGCGCAGAUAUCAGGAGGAACACCAGUGGCGAAGGCGGUUCUCUGGGCCUUUCCUGACGCUGAGGAGCGAAAGCGUGGGGAGCGAACAGGCUUAGAUACCCUGGUAGUCCACGCUGUAAACGGUGGGUACUAGGUGUGGGGUCCAUUCCACGGGUUCCGUGCCGUAGCUAACGCUUUAAGUACCCCGCCUGGGGAGUACGGCCGCAAGGCUAAAACUCAAAGGAAUUGACGGGGCCCCGCACAAGCGGCGGAGCAUGCGGAUUAAUUCGAUGCAACGCGUAGAACCUUACCUGGGUUUGACAUGGAUCGGGAGUGCUCAGAGAUGGGUGUGCCUCUUUUGGGGUCGGUUCACAGGUGGUGCAUGCCUGUCGUCAGCUCGUGUCGUGAGAUGUUGGGUUAAGUCCCGCAACGAGCGCAACCCUUGUUCACUGUUGCCAGCACGUUAUGGUGGGGACUCAGUGGAGACCGCCGGGGUCAACUCGGAGGAAGGUGGGGAUGACGUCAAGUCAUCAUGCCCCUUAUGUCCAGGGCUUCACGCAUGCUACAAUGGCUGGUACAGAGAGUGGCGAGCCUGUGAGGGUGAGCGAAUCUCGGAAAGCCGGUCUCAGUUCGGAUUGGGGUCUGCAACUCGACCUCAUGAAGUCGGAGUCGCUAGUAAUCGCAGAUCAGCAACGCUGCGGUGAAUACGUUCCCGGG